UGGGGAAUUUUGGACAAUGGGCGAAAGCCUGAUCCAGCAAUGCCGCGUGUGUGAAGAAGGCCUUCGGGUUGUAAAGCACUUUUGUCCGGAAAGAAAUCCUCUGGGUUAAUACCUCGGGGGGAUGACGGUACCGGAAGAAUAAGCACCGGCUAACUACGUGCCAGCAGCCGCGGUAAUACGUAGGGUGCAAGCGUUAAUCGGAAUUACUGGGCGUAAAGCGUGCGCAGGCGGUUUUGUAAGACGGAUGUGAAAUCCCCGGGCUUAACCUGGGAACUGCAUUCGUGACUGCAAGGCUAGAGUAUGGCAGAGGGGGGUUAGAAUUCCACGUGUAGCAGUGAAAUGCGUAGAGAUGUGGAGGAAUACCGAUGGCGAAGGCAGCCCCCUGGGCCAAUACUGACGCUCAUGCACGAAAGCGUGGGGAGCAAACAGGAUUAGAUACCCUGGUAGUCCACGCCCUAAACGAUGUCAACUAGUUGUUGGGGAUUCAUUCCUUAGUAACGUAGCUAACGCGUGAAGUUGACCGCCUGGGGAGUACGGUCGCAAGAUUAAAACUCAAAUGAAUUGACGGGGUCAUAGCUGUUUCCU
rnacentral:rRNA from 1 species